rnacentral:rRNA from 1 species
UACGUAGGGUGCAAGCGUUGUCCGGAAUUAUUGGGCGUAAAGAGCUCGUAGGCGGUUUGUUGCGUCGGCUGUGAAAUCCCGAGGCUCAACCUCGGGUCUGCAGUCGAUACGGGCAGACUUGAGUUCGGUAGGGGAGACUGGAAUUCCUGGUGUAGCGGUGAAAUGCGCAGAUAUCAGGAGGAACACCGGUGGCGAAGGCGGGUCUCUGGGCCGAUACUGACGCUGAGGAGCGAAAGCGUGGGGAGCGAACAGG